GAUGAACGCUGGCGGCGUGCCUAAUACAUGCAAGUCGAGCGAACGGACGAGAAGCUUGCUUCUCUGAUGUUAGCGGCGGACGGGUGAGUAACACGUGGAUAACCUACCUAUAAGACUGGGAUAACUUCGGGAAACCGGAGCUAAUACCGGAUGAUAUUUUGAACCGCAUGGUUCAAAAGUGAAAGACGGUCUUGCUGUCACUUAUAGAUGGAUCCGCGCUGCAUUAGCUAGUUGGUAAGGUAACGGCUUACCAAGGCAACGAUGCAUAGCCGACCUGAGAGGGUGAUCGGCCACAUGGGAACGGAGACACGGUCCAGAAUCCUACUGGAGGCAGCAGUAGGGAAUCUUCCGCACUGGGCGAAAGCCUGACGGAGCAACGCCGCGCGAGUGAUGAAGGUCUUCGGAUCGUAAAACUCUGUUAGUAGGGAAGAACAUAUGUGUAAGUAACUGUGCACAUCUUGACGGUACCUAAUCAGAAAGCCACGGCUAACUACGUG
rnacentral:rRNA from 1 species